AUGGUACCUAGGGAUGUUAACUGAAUCUACCGAAUCGAAUACCUAACUAUUCGGAUUCGGUUUGUUGAAUUAACCGAACUGUUCAGUUUGCCACAAUAGAAGAAGUUAUACCUAGAACUCAAGUCACAAUUGAAGAAAAGAAUGAGCUUUUGAUAUAGUCUCAUAAAUUGAAAAUCAAAUAUUUUUUGAUACAUUAUCGAUGAUUAUGUAUGUAUAUUUACAAUCCAAUUUACAUCUUUGAAUGUUUUAUUUACAUAAGAAUGAAUACAGUUACAUCUCCAAACAGCAAGUAAAUACCAUGAUCUCACGUUUUCUAUUUUUUUAACAUUAGUUGAAGUGAAUCUUACCAUUUUCGAAAAUUAUGUAGAUGAGUUUACAGAAGAAUAUUCACAUUCGAUGACUUCGGUAUUAUGCUGCUUGGAUCUCAAUUGAGUCCAUGAAACUUGCCAUAUCUCCAACAAACUCU
rnacentral:lncRNA from 1 species